AUAGUUUCAUAAGAUCAUAAUAUUGGCCGUGAAUGUCACCGCAUACUAAGCUGUCAGACCGAAGAAUAUUGCAAUACAAACAAAAUAUCGACCCAAAUUAAAAUGAAGGAAAAACAUAGUCAUAAAUUACAUUUCAAAGUUCUAAUAUUUUACCUUAUAGUAAUUAGGGCCUAAAUAUGAAAGGUGAUAAUCAACAUACCAGUGACAGGUGCAUCCACCUCAAUCAAGUUGUCUUCUGACUUCAAAAUUUCUGUAGCCUUUUUUAUAAUAUACAACGUUUGUUCCUCAGAUAAACGGCCUUCCCGAAUGAAAUGAUUGCGAAGAAAAUGCAAGUCAGGUUUAUCAGGUUCAUUAAUAUCAAAAAACUCCACGUCCGUCGGAAUAUAAGUUGCUGGUGCUUGAACAUCUUUGAUUGUUAAUAAGACUAAUUUCUUUCAAAAAUAUCCGUACUUUUCACUACUCUAUCCAGUGUGCUAACACUAGAGCCAUCUUCUUGAACAAAUAUUGUAAAAUCAUGAGAAGGAGCUUGAUUUUUUUGGCGAAUUGCUCGAACUAUUGGGUCUUCUAAAUUAUGAGGACCCGAAGUCAUAUUAGUAACUUUUGCAAGCCUAUAUACAGCCUGGGUAAAAUGCUAGAUAUUCUUGCAAAAAGUUUUGGUAGAUUCUGGUUUGUUAUACUUACAUCGUCCCGGCGGUUUUGGAAAAUGGUUUAACGAAAAGCAAAGAAAUUCGUAAUUGCUUUUCUCAAUGAACCAUGUGAACAAAAAACAUAUCUGUUUACAAUUCUAAGUACUUUUUUUUUUUUUUAUAAUAUAGAUAUAUUUCAUCAUAAUCUUUACUUCUGUAUAUUUAAAAAUUUACAAACAAUCGCCGCUUAGACAAACAUAUCUUAAUAACCAAUCGUGUUAGUAAUAAGAAAUGAACUUGUAGAAAGGGAACCCAAAUACUACCUGAAUUCCUUCCUAAUUAUAUUGCCUUGCUCAUUUUUGAGAGAAGCAAACUAAGUUGAUUUGAUGAAACUUACAUUCCAUGAUUACCUAACUGAAAUAACGAUAGU